rnacentral:snRNA from 1 species
UCUCUUGUGCUCGGGCAUGUACUGUCGCCAGUGAGGUUUCUACCGAGGCACAGUUUUUUUGCUGAUUGCAAAUUAUACAUCCGAACCCGUCUGUUAGCUUCGGCUUCCAGCAAUUUUUGGAAACCCUUCUUCCUCUAUUACACUUUUCUCUUGUGACGACGUCCAGCCGACGUUCGAAGGG